CUCCCCCGCCCCGCCUCAUCUCCCCACCGGGGGAGACCCGAGACCCGUCCCAGGCGCAGGGUGGGGGCGCUGGGCAGCCAGACCUGAACCCUCCAAACCAGGCCUUUGCUGGAUGGAGCGCCUCUGCCUCUCAGAACCUCGGUUUCCCCGUCGUCGUCGGUCACAUGGAAAGGAAAGUAGCGCCCCUUUGUCUGGACUGGGAGGCUUAAGGGAGGAAAGCGGAAGCGCUUAGUCCCGGAGUGCUCUCAGAAUGUUAGCUAUUGUUCAUUGAUGCGCUUAACGAGUGGGUUUUGAGUACCUACUAUGGAUGAAGCGUUCCAGAAGUCUCUGCAGACACAGAGCUCAGCGAUUCUCUGAGCGUGGUGCUCCCUCAUGGCCAGCAGCAUCGGCAUCCUUCCAGAGCUUGUUAGAAAUGCAAAUUCUUGGAGCCCCUCGGUGGCUCAGUCCGUGCGACUCUUGAUUUCGGCUUGGGUGACCAUCUCACGGCUGAUAUUCAGGGAGAAACCAAAGGUGAUCUAUUGGCCACGGGACAGGAGAUUGGAUUUAACCCAUCAACUCUGACCCUCCGGGAGAAGCAAAGCAUUUCCAUUGGGGAGCUGUCUGACCAAUCCAGUUCUCCGUGUCUGCGAGGGAGUUAACCAAGAAUAUCAAAGGCAUUCUUGAAUCGGUCAUCUAUCACGAAACAUUCUCCUCCUCCCGUCCCCCACCCUGCUCCCAUCAUCCCCCUCCUCCCGAGCAGCAGCGGCCACAGGGGAGAAAAAAACCCCCAACCAUUUACCAACAUGAUUAGCAGAGGAGACAAGGGAUGGUGACGCAGAUUAUUUAAGCCAAUUUGUUGCCAAG